AUUCAAGCACUCCAUCAGCCACAAAACAACUUUGGUGGAGCGAGUUCAAACGCUUAAAUAAUUGGGACCCGAAUGACGAAAUGGAGAUACGAAGAAUAUUUAAAAAGAAAUGUGGCGAUCACAUUAGACAUGUAUUAAGCCACGCAAAGAGUCGGGG